rnacentral:rRNA from 1 species
CCAAUAGCGUAUAUUAAAGUUGUUGCAGUUAAAAAGCUCGUAGUUGAAUUUCGGGAUCAGUACGCUGGUCGUGCCUUGGUAUGUACUGGUGUCACUGGUUCCUACCUUCUGACGAACCGUCAUGUCAUUAAUUUGGUGUGGCGGGGAAUCAGGACUGUUACUUUGAAAAAAUUAGAGUGUUUAAAGCAGGCUCGCGCUUGAAUACAUUAGCAUGGAAUAAUGAAAUAGGACGUUCGAUCCUAUUUUGUUGGUUUCUAGGAUUGACGUAAUGAUUAAUAGGGAUAGUUGGGGGCAUUAGUAUUCAAUUGUCAGAGGUGAAAUUCUUGGAUUUAUUGAAGACUAACUACUGCGAAAGCAUUUGCCAAGGAUGUUUUCAUUAAUCAAGAACGAAAGUUAGGGGAUCGAAGACGAUCAGAUACCGUCGUAGUCUUAACCAUAAACUAUGCCGACUAGGGAUCGGAUGAUGUUAAUUUUUUAAUGACUCAUUCGGCGCCUUACG